UUGCGUGAAUUUCGUUUGACAUUCAUCGGAUCUUUAUUUCAGCGAGGUAAUAAAAUCAGUGACUCGCGAAAAUAGGUACACCAUGAUAACAGAAGAAAACCCUUUACAGAUAUCUUGCAAUUAUGAUAAAGACUUUAGGCGUGCAUCUUAUUUUCAUAACAACAGAACGAAUAAGUAUUUUACCUGUCGGUAGCCUUUGAUUUUUACGCUAGUUUGGUAAAUGGGCAAUAAAACUGGAAAUUUGAGUCAUAUAACAUUGUAAUAGAAUGCCCCGUGUUGAAGACAUCAAUGGACAUCCUGUGUGGAUGGAGUAGUAAGAUUUUUAAAACUAACCAUUUAAAGUUGUUAAGCUUUUAAACCGAGCGAUUUACACAACAAAGUUACGGGAAGGUGAUAUACUGCUCCUACAACAUCAAAGACCACACGUAUAUGUAUGUAUAUACUGAAUCAAAGGACUUCAGGAAGGCAUCACUUCAUUUUUCCUAAUUUAAUCGGUUGGGGAGUGUUGUGAAAGGGACCAGGCGUUACGAACAAGGGUAAUUUAAAUAUUACGGGAACAUCAAAGAGAUGGUUAUGUUCGUUAUACUGGUAUGUAAUGGGGAACAUUCAAAUAGAGUUCGCCAUUACACAGGAAAAACUCAAGAAAUAUGUUAGACUGACACGUUUCCUAACAAAAUUACUCUUCUUGUAUGUAUAAUUAAAAUAUUAAUAAAAUAUACAAUAUUAAUACUUUUCUGUUAAAAUUAUCCUUUUAAUUCUUACUUGUCAUGACACUUUUCCCAUCUUCACUUACAAUGUACUUGUUCAUUCAAAUUCCAUUCUCUAGAGGAUGGCAUACUGCCAUAGCAUUUAAUAAACCCCAAUUAUGCAUACUUUAAAUAGUUAGAAAUGUAAUUUUCUGAAAAUUCUUAGUUAAUUCUGAGAAUUAUUUUG